rnacentral:lncRNA from 1 species
UUUACAUGUAUCAAAAACAAGAACACCCAAUAUUCCAAGCCUGGUUCACAUCCAAGAGAUCGAAGAGGUCAAUGCUUCGGUCAAUGCAGACGAGAGUGUUGAGGUCAACAGCCAAGUCUCCAUGAUUUGCUUAUUAUUUGGAUCCUCAAAAACAAAGAGCAAUACCAUGAGAAUAUUCGAAAGAAAUAAUUGAAGGAGCUUAAGCCAAGAUGCCAUUCAUAUAUAUUACGACAUAGUGCUGACGGUCUCGGUCGAUGGCACAGACACCAUUUAUUAUUUGGGCUACCGAGCAUUUCAAAUCAGUCGAACUCGAAAUCCAAACGCGAUUACUCGAUGCUUGCUGAGGAGAUCGAGCGUAAUUCUAGCAUUAUUAUAUUAUAAAAAAUAUAUCGUGGAGAUUGAAUUGAAAAUGACUUCAAAUUUGGACAGGCAUGGAAGGAUUUGCCCUUCAACAAUAUCGUGCACCUUGUUGCUUAUCCGAACAAAAACCUCGCAGAAAUCUCAAGAAAAUGCAGGAUGUAGCUCUCCCUCUCUGUGGACCUUAUUGAUGAAACUUUGGGUGGACUUAGAGCACAUGCCUGCAAUAUCAAGAAACAACAUUUUCUAAAAUCACAAGUGCCAAAAAUAAUGGGAAGGAUGGGCUAGGUAAAAUACAAUUAACUGAUAACAAACCUUAUUUAUUCUUGUAGUUUUUUUAUUAAAUGGGGUCCUUGGCCAUUGCCCAUGUUGCCCAAAAUGCUCUAGCUCACUAAACACUUAGACAAGCAUGCAAGAUCUUCAGCAAGUGUUUGGUUUUCGCAAGUUAGAACGAACGAGGUGCACGAGAGGCAAUACGAGCGUCCCUCCCGACUCAUUUAGUCUUUGAAAAAGCGUAGUCAUAAGACUGCGCUUCUCUUGUUCUAUCUACAAAUAAUCCAUCAAGAUUUAAAUAACGCCAUGCGAAAUCGAUCAAAUGAACAAGAUUUCCGAAAUCUCUCGCUCGAUGUCUUUCUACCGUGAAUACACUAGCUAGCUAGUAUAAAUUAACGUCAAGGUCCUUGAAAGAAACCAUAUCAAUCCAGCAGAUAGCUUAAACAUAACCAUUUCUCUCUUUUUUCACGACCCUUGAGAAAAAAAUGCAGAUCUUCAGCAAAGUGUUGAGAGAUACUGAUGUCCAUGUUCGGUUCUCGUUCCCAACUCAUUGCCUAGAGCAUUUAGAUUUUUCUGGAAAUAAUCUUGUUGAUUUGCAUGUUAAAGAUAGAUGUGGUGAGCUUCGAGUUAUUCGUUGCCUGAAGAGAAAUGGAGUUUAUGACAAGCCAGUGCUUUCUAUGGGCUGGCUUAAAUUUGUUGCUGAUUAUGGACUGAGAGUUGGUGACAAGGUUGUUCUUCAUCGUGAGGAUGACCAGAACCUGGGGUCACAGUUCAUGAUUGAAGCUAAGAGGAGAAUCAUGCUGCUUGGUGAGGAGGCUUGGGGUGAUGUGACAAGAGCUAACUAGCUAUUAUUUGGAUGUUCGGCCAUAUCCAGAUAUAUAUAGAAGAAUGAAUUUAUGUAUGUGUUUAUGUUUGAGUGUUUGUAGUGAUCAUAAUCAAUGUCAUCUGCGUCAGUCUAAUUAAAUAAAUAGAAGAAUGAAUUCCGUUUCCAAGAGUUUUUUUUUUCCAGGUUUUUCAAUUUUGUUGGUUUUUUAUUUUUAAUUUUUCUAUUUUGUGCGCAUUUCAAGUGUCUGAAAACGAGGAUUUCCAUUGAUUUGAUGGAUAAAUAAAUCGAAAUGGAUAAAAAAGAAAUAUAAUUCUUUAAAUCAUGGGAACUAACACAUGCAUUGGUGAUGCUAUGAAACAAAGAUCGAUUGAUUCAAAUCCAUCAUCAUCAAUAACAUAUCGUAUUUAGAUUCAUCAAAUUGAUUCGGUCAUACUAGUUUAGCAACUUUUUUUUUAUUAGAGUUAGAAAAUUUAAAUUGAAGUUAUAUGUGGAUUCGAGUUGAAAUAACAUUUGUUGAAUUAAUAUUUUGAAUUUUAUAUAUAUAUAUAAAGAAUAGUUCAAUCUCAAAACGAUUUGUUGAAACGCUAUGAAACUAAAACAUUUAGUUUUAAUUAAAAAAACAGAACGAAAACCGGACUGAAGCAAUUGUAACAUGGACUCCACCAUUAGCCUGUGAACUCAAGAGUCCAACUUCCUCUUUCCUUCCUAGUUUAUGUGAAGUUUGCUUACUGAUUCACAUGUCCUUAAAAACUUUUACAGGUAUUACGGAUUGGUUUUGUGAUGUCUCAAGAGGACAGUUUUUUUUUUUUUCUUUUGUAAAGAAGUUUGAAGCAAGCAGGCAAGCAACCAUCAAGAAACUAGCUCAGUAUUGAAUUGAAACAUGUCCAGUCCUUCAAAAUUCACAGAAUGUAAUGGGAAUAGUGAGAGUAAUUCAAUAAAGAAGCACUGAAACAAAACCCCAUGUUUGGGAAUCAAAAUAAGUCCACAUGGAGGGAUUCACAAAAGGCAUCAAAAUUGAGAAGAGAAACUUACUCCUUUUCUCCUCCUCUUUUGAUAAGCCCAGAUGGAGGGAUUCACAAAGGCAUCAAAAUUGGCCCAAACCUGGAGCAAAACGCAAAGAAAUUAAGUUGGUAGCUAUACAAAACUCCUGCUUAGGAACUGGAAGAAAGAAAGCGAUUUGGCAUCGCUGCAGCAGCUAGAGAGAUCUUAAAAGAGAUGCUUAGCUUACCUCUUUACAUGUAUCAAAAACAAGAACACCCAAUAUUCCAAGCCUGGUUCACAUCCAAGAUAUCGAAGAGGUCAAUGCUUCGGUCAAUGCAGACGAGAGUGUUGAGGUCAACAGCCAAGUCUCCAUGAUUUGCUUAUUAUUUGGAUCCUCAAAAACAAAGAGCAAUACCAUGAGAAUAUUCGAAAGCAAUAAUUGAAGGAGCUUA